rnacentral:rRNA from 1 species
GCUCAAUGAAUUUUACUUUAAAUAGCUGCAGAAUUUUAACUGUACAAAGGUAGCAUAAUAAAUAGCUUUCUAAUUAAAAGCUUGAAUGAAAGAUUAAAUGAAAAAUAAACUUUAUUAAUUAAAAAAAUUUAAAUUUUUUUUAGAUAAAAAAAUCUAAUUAUAAUAAAUAAACAAAAAGACCCUAAAAACUUUAUAAUAAAUUUAUAAUUUAUUAUUUAAUUGGGGAAAUUAUAAAAUUUAAAUAAUUUUUAUUAUUAAAAUACAAUAAUAAUUGAAUAAAACAUUUUUUUUAAAAAAAUAAUUUAAGUUACUUUAGGGAUAACAGUAUAAUUUUUUAUUUUAGAACAAAUAAAUUAAAAAGUUUAUAACCUCGAUGUUGAAUUAAGAUAUAAAUAAAAUGAAAAAUUUUUAAUUUUAAGUCUGUUCGACU